rnacentral:rRNA from 1 species
GCAAGUCGAACGAGAAACUCCGAGCUUGCUUGGGGGAGUAAAGUGGCGCACGGGUGAGUAACGCGUGGGUAACCUACCCUUGAAUCCGGGAUAACUCCGUGAAAACGGCGCUAAUACCGGAUAUCGUUCCAGAGACCUUGGUUUCUGGAAUGAAAGGUGACCUCUUCAUGAAAGUUGCCGUUCAGGGAUGGGCCCGCGUCCCAUUAGCUUGUUGGUGGGGUAAUGGCCUACCAAGGCCGCGAUGGGUAGCUGGUCUGAGAGGAUGAUC